rfam:TPA: Bos taurus chromosome 22, whole genome shotgun sequence.
UGGCUCAGAUGGUAAAGCGUCUGCCUGCAAUGCAGGAGACCCGGGUUCGAUCCCUGG